rnacentral:rRNA from 1 species
UGCAGUCGACGAUGAAGCUGGGGCUUGCUCUGGUGGAUUAGUGGCGAACGGGUGAGUAACACGUGAGCAACCUGCCCUGGACUCUGGGAUAAGCGCUGGAAACGGCGUCUAAUACUGGAUACGAGACGUGGCCGCAUGGUCAACGUUUGGAAAGAUUUUUCGGUCUGGGAUGGGCUCGCGGCCUAUCAGCUUGUUGGUGAGGUAAUGGCUCACCAAGGCGUCGACGGGUAGCCGGCCUGAGAGGGUGACCGGCCACACUGGGACUGAGACACGGCCCAGACUCCUACGGGAGGCAGCAGUGGGGAAUAUUGCACAAUGGGCGGAAGCCUGAUGCAGCAACGCCGCGUGAGGGAUGACGGCCUUCGGGUUGUAAACCUCUUUUAGCAGGGAAGAAGCGUGAGUGACGGUACCUGCAGAAAAAGCGCCGGCUAACUACGUGCCAGCAGCCGCGGUAAUACGUAGGGCGCAAGCGUUAUCCGGAAUUAUUGGGCGUAAAGAGCUCGUAGGCGGUUUGUCGCGUCUGCUGUGAAAUCCCGAGGCUCAACCUCGGGCCUGCAGUGGGUACGGGCAGACUAGAGUGCGGUAGGGGAGAUUGGAAUUCCUGGUGUAGCGGUGGAAUGCGCAGAUAUCAGGAGGAACACCGAUGGCGAAGGCAGAUCUCUGGGCCGUAACUGACGCUGAGGAGCGAAAGGGUGGGGAGCAAACAGGCUUAGAUACCCUGGUAGUCCACCCCGUAAACGUUGGGAACUAGUUGUGGGGUCCUUUCCACGGAUUCCGUGACGCAGCUAACGCAUUAAGUUCCCCGCCUGGGGAGUACGGCCGCAAGGCUAAAACUCAAAGGAAUUGACGGGGACCCGCACAAGCGGCGGAGCAUGCGGAUUAAUUCGAUGCAACGCGAAGAACCUUACCAAGGCUUGACAUACACGA